UACGGAGGGUGCAAGCGUUAUCCGGAUUCACUGGGUUUAAAGGGUGCUUAGGAGGGCAGGUAAGUCAGUGGUGAAAUCCCCGAGCUUAACUUGGGAACUGCCGUUGAUACUAUCUGUCUUGAAUAUCGUGGAGGUGAGCGGAAUAUGUCAUGUAGCGGUGAAAUGCUUAGAUAUGACAUAGAACACCAAUUGCGAAGGCAGCUCGCUACACGAAUAUUGACUCUGAGGCACGAAAGCGUGGGGAUCAAACAGG
rnacentral:rRNA from 1 species